AGUGAACGCUUGCGGUAGGCCUAACACAUGCAAGUCGAACGGCAGCACAGUAAGAGCUUGCUCUUACGGGUGGCGAGUGGCGGACGGGUGAGGAAUACAUCGGAAUCUACUUUUUCGUGGGGGAUAACGUAGGGAAACUUACGCUAAUACCGCAUACGACCUACGGGUGAAAGCAGGGGAUCUUCGGACCUUGCGCGAUUGAAUGAGCCGAUGUCGGAUUAGCUAGUUGGCGGGGUAAAGGCCCACCAAGGCGACGAUCCGUAGCUGGUCUGAGAGGAUGAUCAGCCACACGGGAACUGAGACACGGUCCAGACUCCUACGGGAGGCAGCAGUGGGGAAUAUUGGACAAUGGGCGCAAGCCUGAUCCAGCCAUACCGCGUGGGUGAAGAAGGCCUUCGGGUUGUAAAGCCCUUUUGUUGGGAGAGAAAAGCAGCAGGUUAAUACCCCGCUGUUCUGACGGUACCCAAAGAAUAAGCACCGGCUAACUUCGUG
rnacentral:rRNA from 1 species